GGGACCAAAUGCAAAUAUGUUAUUGUUAAUCUGGUACCUUUUUUUUAGUAUUUAUACAAAAAUGAAAAACAAAUAGUCAGACACAGAAACAGACACACACAGGUACAGCUGUGGCUGCUACAAUGACAGCACCCAAUGUAUCCUCCUCCAUCCCUCCCUCCUCACCAGAUCAUCAGGCAUCAGCAACCCAUCUAACCAUUUCAGACACAAAGUACUACAUACAUGGCACACACCAGCACCAGCGAAACUUCCUCCCUCGACGAGCUAUCUUAUCUUGUAGCAACCGCAAACGCUAACGCAAGUUCGUCCAUGGACACAGAACAUGGUGGUUUGUUUGGGUGAUAGGGUAUGGCGACAACAGCUACAACAGAGCCCUUCUUCAUCUGUAUCUCAGGUUCAGGUCGAGCUCGGGCCCAUACAUGCCGCCUCCACCGGGUACAGGGCCGGCCAUGGCUGGGUGCAUCUGCUUUGAUCUGGCUGUCAGCUCCAUCUGCAUCAACCUCUCAAAGGCGUCUGGGUGGUUGCCUCGCACCUCUGGACCCGAUGGACCUAAAUAAGGAGAAAGCAGGGUUGGAUCAUAGUAAAUUCAGCAUAAAAUUAAACGGUUUGGAUCAUAAUAAAUUUAGUGUCUGAUAAUUCAAACUGGAAAACAAGAACCAUUUUCCUGCAAUCAGGGAGAAACUAGGAGAUAGUAAACUACCUUUAGCUUUGAGAAUAACUCAUUUUCUUUUCAUGUUUUAGCAUUAAAUGAAGUUCCGACGAAAGAUCAUAACCACCAAAAAGAUGCAGAAUUCAACUCCAAUCAACCAAUUCAGAUUGGUAAAAUUUCAGGAACAACUUGAAUGAAUGGAUUUUGUGGGAUGUAGUAAGAGAUGUCAGAUUUUGGUAGUAAACAAAUCGUUCUUGUCUAGACACCAACAGCAGGCCAGAGCCUCUCUGCCAUCAAAACUUUGAAACAAACCAAACAGUAACGGAAUAAACUGCAAGUAAACACAAAGUACAAAAUGAACUUGUACAGACUCUUACCUGGCGGCAUCAACCCAAAGUCUCCAUAGCUGGGCUGGCGAGGGUGCAUAUGGAAAUUAUUUACAUUGUUCAUCUCAGGUCUAUAACCAGCCGCCUGAUGCACAGGCUGAGAUGGCAGAACACCUCUUGGCAAGCCUUCUGCUGGAAAACUUCCACUCAUGCGCUGCAGCAUAAGAUGAUGGGCAGCAGGAUCUACAUGAGGGGCCCCUGGAGCAUUUAGUGUGUGUUGCAUAGGAUUCAUAUUAGGUGGGAAAGAACGUCGGGGAUCAUGUCGUAUCACUUGUGGCAUGUCAAAUGGGGCUUGCUGACUCCUAUUACCAACAUGAUCCACCAUCGGACGAGGAG
rnacentral:lncRNA from 1 species